rnacentral:rRNA from 1 species
CGCGCAGGCGGCCUGACAAGUCAGAUGUGAAAGCCCCGGGCUCAACCUGGGAAUAGCAUUUGGGACUGUUGGGCUAGAGAUCGGGAGAGGAGAGUGGAAUUCCCAGUGUAGAGGUGAAAUUCGUAGAUAUUGGGAAGAACACCGGUGGCGAAGGCGGCUCUCUGGACCGAUACUGACGCUGAGGCGCGAAAGCGUGGGGAGCAAACAGGAUUAGAUACCCUGGUAGUCCACGCUGUAAACGAUGUGUGCUAGACGUUGGGGAGCCUAGCUCUUCGGUGUCGCAGCUAACGCUUUAAGCACACCGCCUGGGGAGUACGGCCGCAAGGUUGAA